CUGUUCUCAUUAUGCUGCUGUGCAUACAGCCACUUUGAAGAAGCAUGUGUCAACUGCAAGUGAUGUGAUCAUGCAGCACACUGCUCCCUCCACAGCUCUGCAGAUCAGUCUGAUAUAUAUGAUGAUUUUCAUGAUAGACAGUCAUCACAGCUACAAGCAUCAGCAGCAGAUGGUGCAGAUCAUGAUGCUCAGAGCCUCAAUCUGAUGCACAGAAUAAUCUCAUUCUCAUUGAAUAGAGUACAUACAAAGCUUUCAUUUUUCUUUUCUUUGUCUAGUUUCUCUGUUCUGUUCUGUUCUUGCUCUUUGAUCUCUGUUUCUCCAUUAUUAUUAUAUAUUAUAUUAUUAUAGAGUUAGGCCU
rnacentral:sRNA from 1 species